rnacentral:rRNA from 1 species
ACCUCGAUGUCGGCUCAUCACAUCCUGGGGCUGAAGCCGGUCCCAAGGGUAUGGCUGUUCGCCAUUUAAAGUGGUACGCGAGCUGGGUUUAGAACGUCGUGAGACAGUUCGGUCCCUAUCUGCCGUGGACGUUUGAGAUUUGAGAGGGGCUGCUCCUAGUACGAGAGGACCGGAGUGGACGAACCUCUGGUGUUCCGGUUGUCACGCCAGUGGCAUUGCCGGGUAGCUAUGUUCGGAAAAGAUAACCGCUGAAAGCAUCUAAGCGGGAAACUUGCCUCAAGAUGAGAUCUCACUGGAACCUAGAGUUCCCUGAAGGGCCGUCGAAGACUACGACGUUGAUAGGUUGGGUGUGUAAGCGCUGUGAGGCGUUGAGCUAACCAAUACUAAUUGCCCGUGAGGCUUGACCAUAUAACACCCAAGCAAUU